rnacentral:rRNA from 1 species
CCCGGGAAACUGGGGAUAAUACCGGAUAGACCAUAGAUACUGGAAUGUUCUGUGGUAAAAGAGUUCGGGCGCCUUAGGAUGGAUCUGCGGCCUAUCAGGUAGUAGUGGGUGUAAAGUACGUACUAGCCGACGACGGGUACGGGUUGUGAGAGCAAGAGCCCGGAGAUGGAUUCUGAGACAUGAAUCCAG